GUAAGGUUAGUUUAAAUUAAAAUAGUAAUUUGUGGUUUUACUGAUAGAUUGUGUUUUUCUACUUUACU
rnacentral:tRNA from 1 species